AUGAGUUUUGACUUUCUUAUGUAAAGACUUUGUAUCAUGAGUUUUUCUACUGGAUGAGUCUACCUCUGGUUGUAAAUGUAUAUUUAGGUCUCCCCCACAAAUAAGAAGGCCUACCAUCUUAUAUUUAUAA